rnacentral:rRNA from 1 species
UACGAAGGGGGCUAGCGUUGCUCGGAAUCACUGGGCGUAAAGCGCACGUAGGCGGCUUUCUAAGUCAGGGGUGAAAUCCUGGAGCUCAACUCCAGAACUGCCUUUGAUACUGGAGAGCUUGAGUCCGGAAGAGGUGAGUGGAACUCCGAGUGUAGAGGUGAAAUUCGUAGAUAUUCGGAAGAACACCAAGUGGCGAAGGGCGGCACACUGGUCCGGUACUGACGCUGAGGUGCGGAAAGCGUGGGGGAGCAAACAGGGAUUA